GCCGCUCCCGGGGCGGGUCUGGGGCGCGACCGCCGGGAAGGGAGGGGCGGGCCUGCCAGAGCGGUGGGACCCGGCAGAGGGUCAGCGACGGGAGGUAGUGUGGGGGCCGGGUCCCGGAGGGCCAGAAUCGUGUAUCCGCAGCGGGACAGCCCGAAGCAGAGCAGAAACUGGAGCUCAGGGAGAAUUUGGGGCGGGGUUGAGCAAGAAGUAGCUAGCACCUGAAGUCACCGCCAGCCCUGACCAUCAAGCAGCCGUUCCCAAAAGCCCAUGUCCUCACCAUCCAUGAGGAUGGUGAAUGAAGGGUGACUCUUGGGGAUCAAGGUGCUGGAGUAUGGAAGCAUGGACUACCAGUGCCUCAUUCAGAUCCGUUUCUGGAGCAAGAGCAAGAUGGUGUCAGAGAAUUCAAAGCCUAAAUUAAAACAGAUACAGUUAUUGGAUUGA